rnacentral:rRNA from 1 species
GAGGAAUAUUGGUCAAUGGACGCAAGUCUGAACCAGCCAAGUAGCGUGCAGGAUGACGGCCCUAUGGGUUGUAAACUGCUUUUAUGUGGGAAUAAAGUGGCGCACGUGUGCGCCAUUGCAUGUACCUCAUGAAUAAGGACCGGCUAAUUCCGUGCCAGCAGCCGCGGUAAUACGGAAGGUCCGGGCGUUAUCCGGAUUUAUUGGGUUUAAAGGGAGUGUAGGCGGUCUGUUAAGCGUGUUGUGAAAUUUAGGUGCUCAACAUUUAACUUGCAGCGCGAACUGUCAGACUUGAGUACACGCAGCGCAGGCGGAAUUCAUGGUGUAGCGGUGAAAUGCUUAGAUAUCAUGAGGAACUCCGAUCGCGAAGGCAGCCUGCGGGAGUGUUACUGACGCUUAAGCUCGAAGGUGCGGGUAUCGAACAGGAUUAGAUACCCUGGUAGUCCGCACAGUAAACGAUGGAUGCCCGCCGUUGGCGCCCCGCGCCUGCGGCCAAGCGAAAGCAUUAAGCAUCCCACCUGGGGAGUACGCCGGCAACGGUG